CCUGAAUAGAAUUCUAAAUAUAAAAUAAUAAAUAAAUUUAUAAUACUAAAUGAAAUAUUUUUUAGAAAAAAUUUUAAAAAAACUCCCUAUGGUUUCGCACUUUUUCAUUUUAAUAUCCUGUAGUUUAAAGUGUAUCAAGUUAAUAUCCUGUGGUUUCGUACUUUCUUACUUUAGUAGCCUAUGGUUUAAAGUGUAUUAAGUUAGUAUUCUGUGAUUUUAUUUUUGUAUCAAGUUAGUACCCUGUUGUUUUAUUUUUGUAUCAAGUUAGUACCCUGUGCUUUUAUUUUUCUCUUAAUAAAAUAUUAAACCACAUGGUACUAAAGUGAGAAAGUACGAAACCACAGGGUACUAACUCGAUACACUUUAAACCACAUGGUAUUAAAGUGAAAAAGUGCGAAACUAUAGGGUACUAACUUGAUACACUUUAAAGUACAGGAUACUAAAGUGAGAAAGUAAAAUCGCAAUGGGGGUAUUUGAAGUUUUUUCUAUUUUUUAUGGAUGGGGAAUGAGAUGAGAAAAAAAAAAAAAAU
rnacentral:lncRNA from 1 species